rnacentral:rRNA from 1 species
UUACUAUUAGUAAGGCCUGCUCAAUGAAUAUUAAAUAGCCGCGGUACUCCGUGCUAAGGUAGCAUAAUCAUUUGCCUUUUAAUUGAAGGCUAGAAUGAACGGCUUAACAUGUUAACAACUUUAUUAAUAAAUUUUCUUUAAACUAUCUUGAGAGUAAGAAGACUCUCAUUGACUAGGGGGACGACAAGACCCUAUCGAACUUCACUUAAAGUUUAGCUGGGGUGGCAAUAAACAAAUUCUUUUAAUAUCUUCUUCAUCCAUCCCAACUUAGGAUAAAACAAGUUACCGUAGGGAUAACAGCAUAAUUUUUUCCUAGAGCCCUGAUCCAAGAAAAAGUUUGUGACCUCGAUGUUGAAUUAAUAAUCUUUU